rnacentral:rRNA from 1 species
CCCGUCCUGCUUCGGCAGUGCGCUGGCUUCUUAGAGGGACUAUCGGCUCAAGCCGAUGGAAGUGCGAGGCAAUAACAGGUCUGUGAUGCCCUUAGAUGUUCUGGGCCGCACGCGCGUUACACUGACAGAGCCAGCGAGUUCUUCCUUGGCCGAAAGGUCCG